rnacentral:rRNA from 1 species
UGGGGAAUAUUGGACAAUGGGGGGAACCCUGAUCCAGCCAUGCCGCGUGUGUGAAGAAGGCCUUAUGGUUGUAAAGCACUUUAAGCGAGGAGGAGGGUACUGGUAUUAAUACUACCAGGUACUGGACGUUACUCGCAGAAUAAGCACCGGCUAACUCUGUGCCAGCAGCCGCGGUAAUACAGAGGGUGCGAGCGUUAAUCGGAUUUACUGGGCGUAAAGCGCGCGUAGGUGGUUCGUUAAGUUGAAUGUGAAAGCCCCGGGCUCAACCUGGGAACUGCAUCCAAAACUGGCGAGCUAGAGUAGGGCAGAGGGUGGUGGAAUUUCCUGUGUAGCGGAGAAAUGCGUAGAUAUAGGAAGGAACACCAGUGGCGAAGGCGACCACCUGGGCUCAUACUGACACUGAGGUGCGAAAGCGUGGGGAGCAAACAGG